rnacentral:lncRNA from 1 species
UUGGCUACCCUAGGAGGGUCAAGGCGGUUGAAAGUGGGUUAAGGCAGGCCAUGACGGGUUAAGGCAGGCCAAGAUGGGUUAAGGCGGGCCAAGACGGUUCAAGGCGACUCCUUGGCGACCCUAGACAGGCCUAGGAGGGUCAAGGCGGCCCCUUGGCGGCUCUAGACGGGUCAUGGCGGCCCCUUGGCUACCUUAGACGGGUCAUGGCGGCCCCUUGGCUACCCUAAGAAGGCCUCAGACGGUCAAGGCGGGCCAAGGCAGGUCAAGGCGGCCCUAGGCGGGUAAAGGUGGCUGCUUAGCGACCCUAGGCAGGUCAAGGAGACCCCUUGGUGGCUCUAGACAGGUCAUUGAGGCUCCUUGGCUACCCUAGACGGGUCAUGGCGGCCCCUUGGCAACCCUAGGCGGGACAGGGCGGUUCAAGGCGGCCCUAGGCAGCCUUUUGGCAGUCUUAGAAGGGUCAUGGCGGCCCCUUGGCUACCCAAGGCGGGCCUAGGAGGGACUAGGAAGGUUAAGGUGGCCAAAAUGGCGAGUCAAGACAGGCCAAGGCUAGCCGAUUUUUUUAUAUGAUUUUUCAAAAUCAAUAUUAAGACUGAGGUGGAAAGAAUGUGAAAUAUUGGCCAUAUGUAAUGGAAAAAAAUGUGAUUUUGCCAAAAACUAGUGUGGUUAUGAAGGUCCAACAUCAUGGGAGCCUACUCCUGAAUUUUCUCCAGCUUUAAUUUUUUUGGUCAAAAACUCGUUUUUCAUCAGAAACCGUGGGUUAUAUAAUGCACAUGUUUUUUUGGUUGAA